GAUGAACGCUAGCUACAGGCUUAACACAUGCAAGUCGAGGGGAAACGGCAUUAAGUGCUUGCACUUUUUGGACGUCGACCGGCGCACGGGUGAGUAACGCGUAUCCAACCUUCCCAUGACUAAGGGAUAACCUGCCGAAAGGCAGACUAAUACCUUAUGGUCUUCACUGACGGCAUCAGAUGUGAAGUAAAGAUUUAUCGGUUAUGGAUGGGGAUGCGUCUGAUUAGCUUGUUGGCGGGGUAACGGCCCACCAAGGCGACGAUCAGUAGGGGUUCUGAGAGGAAGGUCCCCCACAUUGGAACUGAGACACGGUCCAAACUCCUACGGGAGGCAGCAGUGAGGAAUAUUGGUCAAUGGGCGAGAGCCUGAACCAGCCAAGUAGCGUGCAGGAUGACGGCCCUAUGGGUUGUAAACUGCUUUUGUAUGGGGAUAAAGUCAAUCA
rnacentral:rRNA from 1 species